rnacentral:rRNA from 1 species
UACGAAGGGGGCUAGCGUUGUUCGGAAUUACUGGGCGUAAAGGGCGCGUAGGCGGUGUGUCAAGUCAGGCGUGAAAGCCCCGGGCUCAACCUGGGAAUUGCGCGCGAAACGGGGGGGCUUGAGUUCGGGAGAGGAGCGUGGAAUUCCCAGUGUAGAGGUGAAAUUCGUAGAUAUUGGGAAGAACACCGGUGGCGAAGGCGGCGCUCUGGACCGAGACUGACGCUGAGGCGCGAAAGCGUGGGGAGCAAACAGG